UACCGCAUGAGGCAUAGGGGUCGCAUGAUCUUUAUGCCAAAGAUUUAUCGCUUCAAGAUGGCCUCGCGUCUGAUUAGCUAGUUGGCGGGGUAACGGCCCACCAAGGCGACGAUCAGUAGCCGGACUGAGAGGUUGAACGGCCACAUUGGGACUGAGAUACGGCCCAGACUCCUACGGGAGGCAGCAGUGGGGAAUAUUGGGCAAUGGGCGCAAGCCUGACCCAGCAACGCCGCGUGAAGGAAGAAGGCUUUCGGGUUGUAAACUUCUUUUAAGAGGGAAGAGCAGAAGACGGUACCUCUAGAAUAAGCCACGGCUAACUACGUGCCAGCAGCCGCGGUAAUACGUAGGUGGCAAGCGUUGUCCGGAUUUACUGGGUGUAAAGGGCGUGCAGCCGGGUCUGCAAGUCAGAUGUGAAAUCCAUGGGCUCAACCCAUGAACUGCAUUUGAAACUGUAGAUCUUGAGUGUCGGAGGGGCAAUCGGAAUUCCUAGUGUAGCGGUGAAAUGCGUAGAUAUUAGGAGGAACACCAGUGGCGAAGGCGGAUUGCUGGACGAUAACUGACGGUGAGGCGCGAAAGUGUGGGGAGCAAACAGGAUUAGAUACCCUGGUAGUCCACACUGUAAACGAUGAAUACUAGGUGUGCGGGGACUGACCCCCUGCGUGCCGCAGUAAACACAAUAAGUAUUCCACCUGGGGAGUA
rnacentral:rRNA from 1 species